UGCCAUUCCUCUGUACCGGUCGAGGAUCUUGAUACUGGGACGACUGGCUAGGACGCGGUCCCGUGCCAUCUUCAGUUCAAGUAGCUGUAGUUUCCUCCGCAAUGACCUGUUUUCUUUCUGGCUUUGAGUUAUUUCCAAACGAAACACUGCAUAGUCGUCGUCUACGAGUUUACAGAUCUCUGCCACGGCGGCAUUCGCUAACACCUCCAUUAUGGAGGCAAUUUGCGUGUGGAAAACCAUACCGUUAGUCAUUGUUAGCUAACGUUAGCAGCUAGCUAGCGUUAACUAUAUAUCUAUCACAAAGUCCUGUCUCUAACAAGUAUUAAAGACUACAUAUGGUUAGGUGCCUCUCGUGGUGAACGCCCACCCUGACCCUGUCUGCAUUCGUGGGGUUACCAUGAGGCAGCUGAGGAAGGCUAGACCCAGGUCCAGGCUUACUAUGAACCCAGUCACCAGAUAUUAGAUGAGAUCCUGAAGGAAAAGAAAGACUUCCUGAUAGACUACCACCCAGGGGAUCUCCCACCAUUCUCUGUGAAGGCUGACGCCUAAGGUGACCUGCUCUGUUCAUCAUGGAUACUGUGGUGUUUGUAUCAUAGGAACAGGAGGGUCUAUCUCUAUCAGCCCCAGGUCCUGCUUCAUCCCUGCACUGAGACUGUGAAGAGAAGGGUCUGGGCUUCAGACUGGAUCCCUGACUGAAGCCUCUGUCUCUCUGAUGACCACCAGGACUGAGGUUGUUCAGUCCACCUGUCCACUGGUUGUGUUCUGUGUAGUGGUGGAAUCUCUGUCCCUCGUCGGUUGGACCUAGUUCCGAAUCGGGACGGAAUAACAAUGGCUCCUGAUCCAGGGUUCUGAUCCGGGGCCAGGGUUUGUGACCAGCCUCUUCAGAGGUCCACUCUCUCCCGCCAGCAACACCGGAUAUCAGCAGGUCUUCAUGGACUGCAGACUAAACACACAUUUUACAAAAGAGCAUAUAAAAGGUUCAUAUAAGAAACUCUGCUGUACACACAGUAACAUGACAUAUUAUAAAAUGUUCAUCCACAGUCAAGCCCAUCUCUAACACUGUGAUUCAAGUACCCAACAAUAUGGACCAUUGGAGUUUUAUUUUUUUUUUUAAAGCCAUGUGUUGAUUCAAUAAUUAAGUAUAAUGUUUUGGUUCGACUGAAAUGAUACAAAAAAAAACAAACAAGCCAGUCAGCAGAGUCAAAUUUGUAUUUAAUUUCAACUAAAAUGGAAAUACACUUACAUAAUGUAAAGUACAGUACUUUUUUAUUAAAGAAAACAAUACGUUGGGCUGUGGUGGUCAUGACAAA